UAGAUUGAAGCCAGUUGACUAGGGUGUUUAGCUGUUAACUAAAAGUUUCGUGGGUUGCAAUCCCACCAGUCUAG
rnacentral:tRNA from 1 species